rnacentral:misc_RNA from 1 species
AAAAUAAAAUAAAAUAAAAAAGAUCCGUGAGAAAUUGAAAAGACGUAUCUGCAAUCUAAAUUGGUCACAAAACUGCCAGGAGGCAAGAAGUAGCUCUUCAAAUGUCUAGGAAUGAAAGACCAACAUAAUUGAGCAUGAUCAAUCCUGUUUGUUCUGAGACAACCUAGCACGGUGUCUAAGUUCAGCCCUUUUCCAUCUAACAAUCAGGUAACACAAGGAAAAGAGACUGUUUAUCAAAAUAACGAUUGCAGUGACAAGAAGAGGCCCAGACCAGAGUGAUGAAAGAAAGAGUCCAUGUGGAUCAAAAUAAUUCUGGCUUGCAAAACUCCUCCAGUUGUCACCCAAAAUUCUAUUCAGCCUCUCAGCAAAGUAUACACCACCCAAAGCUAAGAGAAACAAGAACAUCUGGAAGUUGAUAUGUUUUCUUGACAGGAUGGCCACUAUCAGCAAAGCAACAUGAAAUGCCAUUAAACCCCUUAACCAAGGUUCCGUCCAAUCGAUAGCGUGGAAAAAUCCCAUGAAAUUAUCGUAGGCGGGUCGAAGGCCUGACCGGAGCUCCGAAGAGAGUUUCAGGAUGAGAUCCGCCAUUUGCUUUAUGUGGUCUUCAAAAGCCGAUCUUAGAUCCAUCAUUAUCACUCAAUUCGAAUUGGGGAAAUUACUGAACACCUCUCGAUUCGAUUUAGGGGGUCGCUAGAAGGGAGGAAAGAAGAGGAGUAGACAGCAACUCAGAGCUCCCUGUGUCCUUCGGUUCAAUCUUAAUAGCGAAGGAGGCGGCUGCUUCGAAGUGGUGAUCGACGACGGCGAAGGGAGAACGGCAGUGGUGAACAAUGAUGAUGGUACUGGCUUCGAAGGCGUCGCAAGGAAGUUCGAUAGGGUUUGUGAGAGGAAACUGAAAAGGCUCUUUUGCACGGCCC